AUUGAACGCUGGCGGCAGGCCUAACACAUGCAAGUCGAACGAGUGGCGGACGGGUGAGUAAUGUAUGGGCAACUGCCUGAUGGAGGGGGAUAACUACUGGAAACGGUAGCUAAUACCGCAUACCAUCAGAUGGGCCCAGAUGGGAUUAGCUAGUUGGUGGGGUAAAGGCUAACCUAGGCGACGAUCCCUAGCUGGUCUGAGAGGAUGACCAGACACACUGGAACGGAGACACGGCCCAGACUCCUACGGGAGGCAGCAGUGGGGAAUAUUGCACAAUGGGCGCAAGCCUGAUGCAGCCAUGCCGCGUGUAUGAAGAAGGCCUUCGGGUUGUAAAGUACUUUCAGCGGGGAGGCGUUACCCGCAGAAGAAGCACCGGCUAACUCCGUGCCAGCAGCCGCGGUAAUUC
rnacentral:rRNA from 1 species